GUGCUCUCCGAUCUGGCCUGGUAUCCAUCUACUCACAAUAAUUUGAAUGUAGAACUGAAGAAGCACAAUUUCCUUCUUCGAGAGGAAUCCAACCGAAGAGAAGCGAGCAUCAUAAUAGCUUGAUAAAAAGAUAUUUAGUAUAAGAGGACGUUCGCGUCAAUUAUCACGCCUCUGACUGCUGAGGACGAGGUUCGGGUUAAUGAUAUUGUGAAAGGUGUCAUUAAACCGGGUCUGCCUCUGUUAGUUACGAGGUAUAUGCCAUGGAUCUCAUCUAUUCCCCUUAAACAAGGGAUAACGUGGGUUCCGACCUGGAAUCUGGACCCCCAAUUAGAGUGUGUUUAAAGAGAUUGGAGGAACUCUUCCUCGGUCUCCGUAUCCAAAGAUACUGGUAAUUAGAGCUUCAAGUGUUCGGUUCUACUCUCCGUUUUAUUCAUAGUAAGGGAGAGCAGUUCAGUCCACUUGCUCUUUGGCCGCAUCGGUUGAGGUUUGCUCUGUUCAGUUCAGUUA